UUUUCCAAAACCCGCAAAACAUUUAGUCUAGAAAAGCGGUACAUUAGGAAAAAUGAAUCCUAACAUACUAUUUCGAUCGCAAAGUCAAAAUCGUAAUUCGGACCUUCUUCUCAAACAACAUAAAAAUUACUUUACGCAAAGGAAAAAACGUAUUUUCGGAAAAGUGAAGUCACAAAAACUUAUGAAGGUAUGUUUCCCAAAACAUCAAAUAAACCUCUAAAACAGUCCGUCGUGACAAUAAACUAACAAAGAUCGUCGAUUGGGCCCGACAAAUACUUUAGCCUUCUUAAACAAACGCAAAUCGACCUUCCUUUUUGCAGGAACGGUUACUCAUACAUCCAACA
rnacentral:lncRNA from 1 species